rnacentral:tRNA from 1 species
CGGGGUAUAGCGCAGUCUGGUAGCGCACCUGCUUUGGGAGCAGGGGGUCGGAGGUUCAAAUCCUCCUGCCCCGACCA